rnacentral:rRNA from 1 species
UACGUAGGGUGCGAGCGUUGUCCGGAAUUAUUGGGCGUAAAGGGCUCGUAGGCGGUUUGUCGCGUCGGGAGUGAAAACUCAGGGCUUAACCCUGAGCCUGCUUCCGAUACGGGCAGACUAGAGGUAUGCAGGGGAGAACGGAAUUCCUGGUGUAGCGGUGAAAUGCGCAGAUAUCAGGAGGAACACCGGUGGCGAAGGCGGUUCUCUGGGCAUUACCUGACGCUGAGGAGCGAAAGCAUGGGGAGCAAACAGG